rnacentral:rRNA from 1 species
CCCUUAGACGUUCUGGGCCGCACGCGCGCUACACUGACACAGGCAACGAGCUUUCCUUUACCGAAAGGUAUGGGUAAUCUUUUGAAACUGUGUCGUGCUGGGGAUAGAUCCUUGCAAUUUUUGAUCUUAAACGAGGAAUUCCUAGUAAGCGCGAGUCAUCAACUCGCGUUGAUUACGUCCCUGCCCUUUGUACACACCGCCCGUCGCUACUACCGAUUGAAUGGUUUAGUGAGAUCCUUGGAUCGGCCCUGUCGCGGCUGGCAACGGCCGCGUCGGCGCGUCGAGAAGACGAUCAAACUUGAUCAUUUAGAGGAAGUAAAAGUCGUAACA